rnacentral:rRNA from 1 species
UGGGGAAUUUUGUGCAAUGGGCGAAAGCCUGACACAGCGACACCGCGUGAGCGAAGAAGCCCUUUGGGGUGUAAAGCUCUGUCGGCUGGAACGAAAAAAAUGACGGUACCAGCAAAGGAAGCAUCGGCUAACUACGUGCCAGCAGCCGCGGUAAGACGUAGGAUGCAAGCGUUGUCCGGAUUUAUUGGGCGUAAAGAGUUCGUAGGUGGUUUGUUAAGUCUGAUGUCAAAUACCGAGGCUCAACCUCGGACCUGCAUUGGAUACUGGCAGACUGGAGUGCAGUAGAGGCGAGUGGAAUUCCCAGUGUAGCGGUGAAAUGCGUAGAUAUUGGGAAGAACACCAGUGGCGUAAGCGACUCGCUGGGCUGCAACUGACGCUGAGGAACGAAAGCCAGGGGAGCGAAUGGGAUUAGAUACCCCCGUAGUCC